GGAUUGCCCCAGUAACGGCGAGUGAAGCGGCAACAGCUCAAAUUUGAAAUCCGGCCGCCCCCCGGGGGGCCCGAGUUGUACUUUGCAGAGGACGCUUCUCGGCGCGGCGCCUUCCGAGUCCCCCUGGAACGGGGCGCCGCAGAGGGUGAGAGCCCCGUACGGUCGGCCGCCGCGCCCCCUGUGAAGCCCCCUCGACGAGUCGAGUAGUUUGGGAAUGCUGCUCAAAGCGGGAGGUAUAUGCCUUCUAAAGCUAAAUACCGGCCAGAGACCGAUAGCGCACAAGUAGAGUGAUCGAAAGAUGAAAAGCACUUUGGAAAGAGGGUUAAACAGUACGUGAAAUUGUUGAAAGGGAAGCGCUCGUGGCCAGACUCGGGCCCGGCGGACCUCCCGGCGCUCGCCGCCGGGGCACUCCGCCGGGCGCGGGCCAGCAUCGGCUCGCCGCGGGGGACGAAGGCGCCGGGAACGUGGCUCCCCCGGGAGUGUUACAGCCCGGCGCGCAACGCCCCGCGGGCGGGCCGAGGCGCGCGCACCGCAAGGAUGCUGGCGUAAUGGCCACCAGCGACCCGUCUUGAAACACGGACCAAGGAGUCGUCCUCGCAUGCGAGUGUUCGGGCGUCAAACCCCAGCGCGUAAUGAAGGUGAACGCGGGUGGGAGCCCCCCCCCCCCCCCGGGGGGGGCGGCGCACCAUCGACCGAACCCCGAUGUACUCGGACGGGUUUGAGUGGGAGCAUGCGGGGCCGGACCCGAAAGAAGGUGAACUAUGCCUGUGUAGGGUGAAGCCAGAGGAAACUCUGGUGGAGGCUCGCAGCGGUUCUGACGUGCAAAUCGAUCGUCAAACAUGGGCAUGGGGGCGAAAGACUAAU
rnacentral:rRNA from 1 species